CAUGGGCUUGUAAAGCCGGUGCCUUUUAUAGGCCCAUUUCUAUUCUUAUUAUGCCAGAUAGCAUAUUUAUUUGGGCAUGGCAUGUGGUCGUAGCUCGCGCAAGCGUGCAUGACGAAUUUCCCGUGCUCCGAACCGGGUAUCUUCUUAAUAAGGUGUCGCACUGGGCUGAAAAUUUAUUUGGACCCAACCCUAGAUUUUUUGGGCCUCAACAAUAAGUAUGAGCGGUACCUGAUCAAGCAAGGGGAGAGACCAAGAUCGUGGUUAGUAGUACCCUGUUUGGGCUUAACAACCUGAUUUGAAAUUCGUGUAACCCUCAGACUGGGUCAACAGUCAAUUCGGGCCUGGAUCUACUUCCUGUCUUUUGGACCAAUAUGGCCCUAUUUGGGCCCGAAUC
rnacentral:lncRNA from 1 species